rfam:Gossypium raimondii Chr05_contig_437, whole genome shotgun sequence.
AGCUUCACUGUUCCCUGGGAUUGGUUUUAGGCUUUUCCUGUGUAGCUUAUGUGGAAGGCGAAGAAGGCCUCCUUCUAGGGGGCCAGAGCCAUGAGUGAGAUACCACUCGGGAAGAGCUAGAAUUCUAACCUUGUGUUAAGACCUACGGGCCAAGGGACAGUCUCAGGUAGACAGUUUCUAUGGGGCAUAGGCCUCCCAAAAGGUAACGGAGGCAUGCAAAGGUUUCCUCGGGCCGAACGGAGAUUAGCCCUCGAGUGCAAAGGCAGAAGGAAGUUUGACUAAAGCCCCGGUGAAAGGCGGUCGUAACUAUAAUGGUCCUAAGGUA